GAAAGGAGAGGCAGGAGGAUCAUGAACUCACACCAGCUUUAGUUACAAAGAGAACUAUCUCAUAGCAAAAACAAAAAUCCCACCUCAUGCCAAAACACUGUGCACUCUGAUUCCAUUAUGGGAUUCUUUUGUGGUCACAUUGUAGGGAACAUGGUGAUGAGUGUGAGGGUUAGAGGUGAUGGUGGUGUGGUGUUGGUUCACCAACAUGGGCCAGGGGCAGCCUUAAGAUGGGAUUUCUGUGUGUGCCUGUAAUAAAUGACAUCAAAACUGUGAAAGGUAGCUUUAAAAUACUGAGGUCUGAGUGAGCUGUGCAAGCUGUCAGUGUCUGCUUCUGCUUCUGAUCUGCUGUAGUUAGGGAAAGUUCUGCUCACUGGGAACACCACGUGACACAUCUGUACACUGAGGGUCGUCCUGUAAAUCUGAGUGUGUGAGACUGGGAGAGAGGGAGAGAGAAGGGGGAGGGAAGAAGAGCGAGGGAGGAAGAGCCUGGGAGCUUUGCUCACAUGUUUUCCCACAUGUUGGUUGAAUUUAACUCUCAGAAGCUUGUUUACAUAUGCAUAUGAAGCCAGGCUUUAAAGCUAGGACCUUUCUUCCCUUUAAAAAAAUGUAAAGUUAAAGAAAGAAAAAAAGAAAGAAAAAGAAAGUAAAUAAGUGCUGGUAUUUGUUGUAUAGUUGGUUAGUCUUUGUGUUAAAAAAAAAAAA
rnacentral:lncRNA from 1 species